CAGAAAGUGAGAUUCAAAUCCUUUCACUCUCAUAUGCUAAACCUUUUGCCUUACUCUGGGUCAUCAGAGAAAUUUAGGUGAGAAUGUAUGAUGAAGUCUGUGUUUUAGAUUCAAUGCAGAUAUAUCAUUGUGCGCAGAACUCUUUCUGGUUAUAUCCAGUUAAGAGUAAAUCAGGCUUUCAGCCGGGCGCGGUGGCUCACGCCUGUAAUCCUAGCACUUUGGGAGGCCGAGACGGGGUUUCACCUUGUUGAUCAGGCUGAUCUCCAACUCCUGACCUCAGGUCAUCCACCCACCUCCGCCACCGUGCCCGGCCGAAAUUUGUGAUUUUAUAACUAAGAAUUUUUAGUUAAGAACAUUAUCAGUAAAGACAACGUAAUCCCACCCUGGAGAGUUUAUUGGGAGCCCAGGAAUAUUCAUUUUUAAUACACACACACACACACACACACACACACACACACACACUGAUCAGAGUAACAGGAGUUUCUCUCAGGAGUCAUACUCCAUGAGCCUGGACCCAGUGGUUCUUUACGUGGAAACAAAUUUCACCUAUAGGUAACCUGGUAACUGCUAUUUUCUUCUGUGUGCUCUGUCAACAAAGUUAUCAGUGGCUUGCAAGAGAUGCCUUUAAUACUCAGAGCAUUCUAUCUCCCCCUAUCUGGUUUAGAAGGAAGGCCUUCAUUAGUUACCUUUUGAGAAGUUACUAGAACUCUCUAUUAGAGACUUACCCUCCUGACCUGAUAAAAAGGGAUACCCAUGUCUCUAUUAACAGCUUUAUCUCUUUCUACAGUUUUGGGUAUUUGAUAAGGUUAAGGCAAAAUUUUAGUUAUGCUUAAGGAGGAGUUCUUUUUUCACAAUUACAGAGAAAAUUUUGGUUUGUUGAAGAUUGCAGAAACAGCAAUGGUAAUGUAAGACAGUUUUGGCCUUUAAUUUUUUUCUUGAAACUCUACAGUAUACUACAAUAGUGAAGGAAACUAUUAACAUGAGAGAUCCUUCUGAAUAGGAUGUCUUUCUGAGUUCCACUAUUCAGUUACAAAACUCCUUAAUGCUUAAAAUUCAUUAUGAAAAUUAGAUUUAUUUUAAAUACUUUCAAGUGUAUACAUUUUUAUUUCAUAAUUUUUAUUGUCUUUUAACUAAAGCAUUUAGUUCAUUUAUAUUUACUGUGUACCUUUUAUAUUUAAUAAAUAUAUUUACUUAUUAAAAGAUUA
rnacentral:lncRNA from 1 species